AUGAAGCAAGCAGCUGGAGUUAGAUCUCGAGACCAGCGUCACCCACGCGGCAGGACCGACACUGCCCUGUGCCACAGAGCCGACCUGUUGCCUGCGAUGGGCCUGCUGCUCGGGAGGGCCGGGGAGCGGAGCAGCUGCUCACGGUGGGUGCCGGGGAGCCCCGGGGAGCCCCGGGAGAGCCCCGGGAGAGCCCCGGGCAGCCCCCGCAGCCCCUCCAGCCUCCGGGCUGGCCUCGCCGACAAAACCAACCGCGCUGCGACGGCUCCUCUUGCUACCGGGAAGGAAGAGCGGGAGCCGGGGGAAAAGCAGGCUCCUUCUACCCGCUUUGGGCAGCAGAUCUUUAGAGGAUGGCGUGCUCAGGAGCGGCACUGGAGGGUCUGGAGCAGUGGCGCCGGGCGCUCUGCGGGCACGGCCGGGCCCCCAGGCCAACGCUGCCGUGCCUCCCCCGGCCGGAGGCGGCGAGGCCGGGCACGUGUGCGGGCCCGGGCUCGGUGACUCAUGAGGCGCCGGCCGCUCCGCCGCGGGGAGGAUGAGGGAGGGCGGCCCCGGGGGAGGGCAGCCCGCCGCGCCGCCGCCCCGCUCCGCGCCUUCCCCUCGCUCCCGCGGUGCCCGGAGCGCGGAGGCCGCACCGGGAUUAGGUGAGCGCGGCCGGGGCCGGGGCCGGGGCCGGGGCGGGCUCGGCUCCCCGUGGGCCCGGGGCUGGCGGCGGGGCCGGGGCCGGGUGGCGCUUCCGGGCGGGGCGGGGGCGGCGGCGGAAGCGGGGCCGGGGCUGGCGCGGGGAGCCCGGGCCGCCGCUGCCUCCGCCCGCCGCGCCCGCGGCACCGUCAGCAUGAGCCGCUGAGCCGGGCGGGCCGCGCCGGCAGGGCCCCGCCGGCAGGCCCGGGGUGAGUGCGGCGCCGAGGCCCGGGCCCGGCGGCGGGGGAAGCGGGCGGCGGCCCUGGCGGGGCGGCUCCGCGGGGAAGGGAGGCAGCGUUGCUGAGGGCCGGGAACGGGGAACGGGACCGGGGCGCGGCGCUCCCCACGCGUGUCCCCGCCGGGAGCCCGGACCCCCCCCGCGGGGCUCGGCCGAGGGUCGGGGCCCCCGGGCCGGCUCCGCGCUGCCCCGGCGGGCGGGGGGCGGCCGCAGAGGCCGCGGUGCGGGGCGGUGCGGGCGGCAGCGCCCUGUGCGCACACACCGCACGGCCCGCGGGAAACAACCGCUGGUUUGCUUUCCAGAGAAAGUUCUUGAAUUCAGAACUUGGGUUCGCAGGUGCAAACAAGUCCGUUUGUUGAGAUGCUGGUAUAGUGGAAGAGAAAAAUGCAGGAAUGUUUGUGUAAAAUGGUUGUCUUGGAAAAAUAUGUGACUGUUUCUUUUAGAAAGAAAUAAUUUCUUUUGGUCAUUUUUUUGAGGUGGGGAAUGUAUGCCCCGGAGCGAGGGAGAAGCAGGACACGGGUGACAGAGAUAAUGAAGUGCAGGAGAGCAGGUUCAGGGAAGGAAUGUAACGGGAAAGAAGGAUGGGAGUAAUGAAUAGUAAUGGUGAAUAACUUAACUGGGUUAUGUCUUUUUUUGGCACUAUGGAGAAAGGUUUCUAAUGAAACGACAACACAUUCCAAAGUGACAAAUGAUUUGCAUAAUGAAUUAUUAACCGAUGGCGCUUGUUGCUGCAGGGGAAGUUUGGGGUGAGAGCUGAGAAGAAGUUGCAGGCUCCCCUCAGGCUGGCUGCAUGUGACACUGACCCUGGGCAGGCCCACUGGCAGAGAACAGUGUUAUGAUAAUUUAAAGUAGAUAAAAGAGGAAGAAAUGAAAGGCUUGGCAGCCCCGUGCUCAGUGCAAUGGUGACAGGACUGCUGCACGUGGAAGGCUGGGCUGUGCCACUGCAGGAGCCAGAGGUGUUGGGAGUGUCUGUGCUCUGGGCUGAAAGCAGCUGUGGGUACUGGCCAGUUCGGGUGUAUCCCACAGCUGCCUCCAGCCUGGUCCCCCUGGGUAGGUGUCUGAGGAGAAUCUGAAAUGCACACCUGCAGUCUGGAGGGCAGGUGAAUGCCCCAUUCCAUGGCCUUGGUGCGAUGUCCCAGCCGUGCCCUGCUGCAUCCCUGCAUCUGGUGCUGCUCUGACUUAGCUGUCCUUGGAGCUGGCUGUGUUGGAAGCCUGGAGUGUAAGUGUGAGGUCCUGGAGCUGUGAUGGGAGCCUGCACUGCCCAUUGGCAGGGUGCUGCCCCGCAGGGCUGGGGUUUGGCUCCCACAGCAGACAGGCUGUAAAGGCUCUUGUGAAGUUCCACUGUCCAGGAGGGUUUCUGUGGCCACAGGAAGGUUCUUAAAUGUGUGUUGUAGAUGAAGAUCUGAUGGCCAGCUUAGAUUAAAUCAUAGGCUUCCCUCUCUGGUUUUAUUUCCUUCGAGUACUUGUUUCAUUCUGCUGCUUCAGUGUCAGUGAGGAGGUUGUAUUGACAGUUUAUUGACUGUAAUUAGGGGCAUGAGCCUCAGCACCUCUUCAUUCCUAAAUAGUGGAUGAUUUCUGCUCGGGGUGAUUACUGUUCAGGAACUGCUGGAUAAUCUGAAGACAUCAUUUUCUGAUACUGAGGAAGUCACACGUGUUGGGCUGUAAAAGGCCUUGUGGUAACUCUGUUGCUUUCAAAGGCUUAAGAGGUGUUUUCCUUAGGCAUAUUUUCGAUGGGAAUGUUGUAAACAGCAUGUUAGCUAAGGGCAGCUUGUUAAGGUAAAACUGCAAGGAAAAGUUCUGUUCCCAUUUGUUAUGAUUUAUGUUCAUGCCAAGGAUGAUUUUUGCAACUAUGAGUUUAUCAGCAAAUUCCUGCUACUACUCUUGUCUGGAGGGAAGGGAGAGGGAGGAUCUGGCAGAGUUCAGUCACUUCCCUGGGAAUUCCUGCCCUUCGGUGUGACCUGCUGUGCCCAGCCCUACACACAGGCUCUCCUCUCCCUUGCAUGACUGGUAGUCUCCACUGUUUUUGUCCCUUAAGGAUUAGAGCAGUUUCCUAUGGUUAUUAUUUUUUAAUUUAAUUUUAUUAACAAUUAUAUACUGUAAACUUAGUUUCCCAAGUUAUGCAGCAAAGUAAACAACAUUUCUUUCCUCCUACCCCCUAAUUAUUUACCAAAAGGAUGCACAUGUAAAUAUGUUUGAAUGCUGUCCCUGGUUACAUUUGGAGCCUGCUCUGCCGAGAAUAUGUGCAAUUGCAAUUCCAUUAGUAUCAAAGAGAGUUCCCAGCAAUUAACAAGGAAAGAGAAGGGACUAUUAAAACUGUGCUGUGGUUGUGCUGAAACUUCAGUUCACCCUAAGAUAAGAAAAUACAGUUAAUGUGCCGAGUUGUGAGGUGAAGGCUUGCUGUGGUUGCUGUGAGGAUGCUGGUGCCCACUCUCCCUUCAGCAGUCUGUGCAAGGGGAAUGUCCUGGGCAGGACUGUGAUCAGAGGAAAAAGCCGGUGACAAAUGUUGGUUUACCCUGAUCUGUGCAUUCAAAACCAGCAGUAAGUUUUGCUGUUGUGAAGAUGCUCUGAAGUCUCCUCAACAGCUUCAGAGGCAGCGACAGAAGAGCAACAGCAGCACCUGAGCUGGGGCAGGCUGACAGAUACGAGGCUUCCUAUGCCCAUUGUGGAGUUUGGGGUUUGAUGUGUGCCGAUUUCACCUCAGGGUGAAAUCCCACUAUCUAUCAGAUAAAGAAUUGCUUUUCAUAAAGGGUCAAUUAAUUUUUUUAAAUAUCUACUUUCUGUCAACUCCUACCCUGUGAAACAGUCCAUGUUUCAGAUUAUGUGCAUGUAAUUGCUAUAGAAGAAUAUUUUUAUCCAAAAUAUCUUUAUUUUAAGUAGCUGGGAAGAAAAAAAAAGUUUGCAAUAGGUAUAAUCUGUCACCAGUAAAAUCUGACUUGAGUUUCUCACAAUUCAGCUAGAUUUAUCUUGAAUUUUUGAAGGUAAAAUUGCUGUUGGUACGAAUUAGUAAGAGCAGCAGCGGUGUGUAAGGUGACAGACAGCACUUCUGUCACAAGGGUGCAAAAUCCUGCAUGUUGGUUUGAGUGUACAGGAAAAGCCAGGCAGCCAGGCCUGGGGAGAAUGCAGCUGGGCCUGAGUUUUGUGUAGCCAGUUUCUAAUUCCCAUUGGGCAGGUGCCUGACCAGCAUCAGCCCAGCCUGGAGAAUGGGCCAGCUCAGCUUGGGCCUGCCUGUCCUUCCAGAGCCCCACUACCUCCUGGAGCUGCCCUGACCUGAGCACUGUGAUCAAAUCUAUCACUGCUGUGUGCUCGUGGGACCUUUGCUUUGGGCAAAGAGGCCAAAUACUACUUUUUUCAGAAAAAUAUUUUGGUACGUAAACACGCAAGGUGCACACGAGCAGCUGAACCGAGUGAACUUCCGCAGAAUAAAAGGCAAUGAGAACUAGAUGUGUUGGAAUAU
ensembl:lncRNA